AGAGUAUCAAGGGCACUCUUAAGAACCUCUAACUUUUGCGGGUAAGUUAGUACCUUAGAGUAUCAAGGAACUCUUAAAAACCUCUCUAAGCUUUAAGGCUACUUCGCUUAGGAACCAGUCUUUUACGGGUAGACUCACACCUUAGAGUAUCAAGGGCACUCUUAAGAACCUCUAACUUUUACGGGUAAGUUAGUACCUUAGAGUAUCAAUGAACUCUUAAAAACCUCUGAAAUCUUUCAAGGUAGACUCGACCUAAGAGUUUUCCCGGAAACUCUAUAAAACCAAACUAGAGCUUUAUGGUUGAGCUCAAAAACCUUCUCUCACACUUUGGUACUAUUGAGACAACCCUCUCAACCAAAGUGGACACACACAAGAGGUGAUUAGAGGAGUGGAAUAUUAAAGCAAACAACACUUCUUACUUGUAAAGAUGAACAAGAAGAUUAGAAGAAGAAGUUGGAGAGCUUUUGAAGCUUUGGAAAGCUAGGACACUUGAGCACUUGAAAGCUUGGAAGCUUGGAGGCAAAAACGUGUGGGCAAGUGUGGAGUGAAUGCUCUUGAGUUUGCUUGUAGUGUGGUAAGUGAAAAUGAGGGGUUUACCCUUCUAUUUAUAGCCUUGGCCACUCAAUGUCCACCCUUGGAUCUUCAAUGGAUGGCUCCUUGAUUUCUCACAUAAAUCCAAGCUUUGUCUUUGAUCUUAUCUUGAAUAGUGCUUUUAUUGGAUAGAGUUUGUUGGAGAAUCUUAUCUUUGUAUAAAUUCAAACUUGAAUAGUGUUUUGUCCCCUUGGAAUAUUAUACCUUGAAUAAAGUGUCAAAAGAUAAUAAUAAUAAUAUUCAAGGUAAAAAUGCAAUUAUUUCAAAUAAUAUUCAAGGUGAAAAUGCAAUUAUUCCAAAUAAUAAUAUUCAAGGUGAAAAUGCAAUUCUCCCAAUUUGACUUUUAACUUUGACUUAAACCCUUAACUCAAAUCAUUAAUUAAUUAACUGGAGUUAGGUUUAAUAUCGAUUGACUAUUUAACCCAUAUUGAUUAAUAGUGUAAUUAGGGUUUAAAUUGACAUGAUUAAAAUAUAAUCCUAUGUCGACAAUUUUGAUUCUACACUCGCAACCCCGCGAGCCUACUGGUAGCAGAUUUCGUGCUUCAUCAGGAACUAAAUUCCAGGUCUUGUUAUCAAUCAAAGCUUUAUAUUCUUCUUUCAUUUUUUGAAGCCAAUGCGGUGUUGCCAUGGCUUGUUUAUAGUUCUUAGGUGUAUCUUCUAAAUUUUUAACUACCUCUACCACCAAAGCCUUUGGUAGGUUAACUUCAAAAAUAUUAUAUUUUGUUGGAAAUUUUGAAGUUCUACCUCCUCUUCUUAGAUGAGUGUGUGUGUUAAACUCAUUUACUAAGUUUUGAGGUAUUGUUGUAACUACUGGUUGAGGUAUUGCUGUAGCUACAGGUUGAGGUAUUCUAGUGGCAGAUUCUUCUGUUUCCUAAAUUUCCGAAUGAUGACUUCUUCCUUCAUUUUCAGUUACAAUUGUUGGUGUUGUAGUGGGAAUCCUAGUGUUAUCACUUAUAUCUUCCGAGCCUUGAUUUUCUCUUGAAGUUCCUUGAAUGUCACUUAUUGUUCGAGAAUUCAGAGUUUGCGCAUUAUUGUUUAUUUUCAUGGGAAGUGGAAGUCUAAUGUUAUUUAGACUUGUUUUCUUAACCAUAUCAUUUAUAUCUGAUUUGAUCUUAUAGUCUUUGUAUGGAAAAGUAUCUUCAUGAAACUGGACAUUCCUGGAUAUUAUUAUCUUAGAAUCCUUAAGUCUAAAGCAUUUAUAUGCUUUAUGAGAUUGUGAAUAACCUAAGAAACAACAAUAACAAGAAGUUGAUUGAAACUUGUUUCUUAAAUGUAUAGGUAUGAGAGGAAAACAUUAGUGACCAAACACUCUAAGAUAUUUAAUAUCUGGUUCUCUAUCAUAUAACAAGGAAUAAGGUGAAUUAUAACCUAAUUUCUUGGAAGGUAAUCUAUUUAGAGUAUACACAGCUGCACUGCAAGCUUCUACCCAGUAGUCUUUUGGUAUUUCAGAGUGAAAGAAGAAACACCUUGCCAUUGACACAAGAUGUCCAUGUUUCCUUUCUACCAAACCAUUUUGUUCAGGAGUGAAUGGAGUAGACAAUCUGUGUUUAAUUCCAUGUUUCUUACACAAAUUACUAAAUUUAGCAUUCAAAAAUUCACCACCACAGUCUGAUUGUAUUGUUAUAAUUUUACACUCCAACGAGUUUUCAAUCAGUUUUUGGAAUUCUCUAAAUUUCUCAAAAACUUCAUCCUUAGUUUUUAAAGGAUAAAACCAUGAAAAUCUUGAAUAUUCAUCAACUAUAAGUAAAUAAUACUUACGACCAUGAAUUGAGGGAAUGGGGGCAGGACCCCAUACAUCCAUGUGAAUUACUCCUAAUGGCCUGUUGCUAUACUUUGUUUUAGAUUUAAAGGGCAAUUUUUUCAUUUUAUUCAUUGGACACACAACACAUUUUUCUUUGCAUUCACUUGUUUUAAUCUUAUGUAUUUUAAAUAGUUCAGAAAUUAUUUGAGAUGAUGGAUGCCCACAUCUCAUAUGCCAUAUGUUAUAUGGUAUUGUUAAAACAGAAGGAUGUGCAUUAUGUUUAACUAUUGAUACAUUACAUUUAAGACUAUCAUCCUGUUUAAACACACAAACCAUUUGAUCCAAUACCAUUUAAAAUCUGUUUUCCAGAUUUAUUGUUAUUUUCUGAAAACUUAUCACCCUUUAAUAUAACUUUACAAUCUAAAUCAUUAGACAUUGCUUGUAAAGAAAUCGAAUUCAUUUUUAAUUUUGGAACACAUAAAGCAUUUUUGAGUAUUAAAUCGCCAAAUUUAGAUUUAAUUUUCAAAUUUUCAAUAUGUGAUAUGUGUAAGCCUAAAUCAUUACCAAUUAUUAUAAAGGAUUUACCUGAGUACUCCUGAGUCUCUGAUAAAUUAUCGAGAUCAGGAGUCAUGUGAGCAGAUGCUCCGGAGUCUAAAAUCCAAUUCCCUUCUGAAGAAUCGUCAGUAACAACAACAGUUAGGGCUUUAAGAAUUUUUCUGCAGGUCUUAGCAGAAUGACCUGGUGUUUCACAGAUCUGACAAAUAAUAGAAGAAUUAGGAUUCUUAGAUCUCCUUCAUCGAUUCUUUGAUGAAUUAUUUCUUUUCUGAUUAGGGUUGGAAUUUUCUUUCUUGUUUUUAUACUCAGUUUUCUUGUAAUCAUUUGGGUCACCCCUGUAGUCAUUUCUGAAAUCACAUCCAGAACGAAAUUUUGCAGCAAAGGCAGCACCAGAAGCAUCAUCAGAUUUUGGGUUAAUUUGAAAAUGACGCUUUAGAAAUGCAUCUUCUCUAAUAAUCAGAUGAAUGAACUGUUCAAACAAAAGAUUCGGUUGUGAGUGGAUAGAUGACAUGAACGGGCGAUACUCAGCAGCCAAACCAUCACAAAUGAAAUCAAUCUUAUCUCUAUCUGCGAGAUGAUCACCCGCAGCAGUCAAACUGUCAAUAAGAGCAUGAACUUUAAUAACAUACUCCGCCAUGCUCUCGGAGUCAGAUUUCCUCAUCAUUCUAAGCUCAUCCCUUAAGCUUUGUGAGUGGCAAAUUUUUCUUGGCGAUAAGUGAAGAUCAAGGUUCUCCCAGCAGGCGCGUGCACUGUCAUGAUUUAACACAAGAGAGAACAUUGACGAGCCAACAGCAGCUUGAAUCCAUCCAAGAAUGAUGAAAUUCUUCUUUCUCCAGAUAUAAUAUAACGGAUUGUCACUUCCAUCAGGAUUCUUUUCUUCUGGUGUAACGGUCUUUGGAUCUAUAAUAUCAGACACAUCAUGAAUCUUAAAAAGAUUCUCCAUCUGAGAUUUCCAAAAGAGAUAUGUUCCACCACUCUCUAAAGGAACCCUGAUCCAGUGUGAUACAUUGCACUUAUGAAGUUCGUCAAAAUGGUUUGACAAUGAAGAGGAACCUUUACUAUAAACCAUUAUUAAGAAGCUAAUAUACAGAUCCGGAAGCCAGCGAUCGUUGAGAGAAGAAGAAAAAAUUGAAAUCACGGAAGCACAAAUCGGAAAAUGCUAAAAAAUCACAACUGCCAGGUCGUGUUCUGACAGAAAUCACAGAAAUAUCAAUUCUGCAAUUUCUUGACAGAUCGUGCAACUGAACUUGCCACAGAUCGUGCAAUUUCUCAAGGAGAUUGUCCCAAAUCGGCAACUGAAAUCGCCAAAACUGAUCAUACAACGAUUUCCACACUGACGGACAUGGACAGAUUGAAAUCGCCUGCUCAAAUCUUCUGCCCCAAAAUAAAAUCGCGGAAAGAUGAUCUGCUUAAAUCACACACAGAUCGCCGUGCUGAAAAAUUUCUGUGAAGAAGAAAUCGCCGCGAGUGGGAGAAGAAGAAGAGGAAGAUUCCUGUUAUCACCGUGCUGAAGAGAUCGGAUGGUCAAGAGGAGCUACAACUGAUACCAUGUUAAAUACUUCAACUCUUGGAUAUUCAGAUCAACGAUCAAGCAAACAAAGAACAAGAAAUGUAUUUCAUAGAAUGAAUUCAAAUCAAUAAUCCACAACGAUAUCUAUCUAGUAUUUAUAUCAUGACUUAACUAAUUAACCACUAAUACUAAUUAACUAGAGAGAAUAUCUAACUAUGGUUAACAAAGAUAAAGAGUGUAAUUAAUCUUGCUAACAGAGAGAACAUCUGAAAUAUUCAAAUGAUUUCCUAAAGUGGAACUUAAUGACAGAAAAGUUAAGACAUCUGAAAUCUACAUUCACAGGAACUCAAUGAAAUGCAGGAAGUAGAAUUAAAUGAAGAAUCACUGUAAAUGCUAUGAAAAUGAGAAUAUCAAUUGAAAAUAAGAAAUCAGAAUGAAAUAUGAAAAUUACUGGUUUGAUUAAAAAAUAGAAAAUAACCAAUUAAAAUAAUAAUCUGAGAAUGAAAGAAGAAAAUUACUGGUUCGAUUAGAAAAUAUUGAUUCUUGUUGUGAUUGUGUUCUCUGAUUGCGUUUUCGAUUCUUAUUUUGAUUACGUUUUCAGAUUUUUUUUGAACUCGAUUGGUUUUGAUCAGAAAUCGUUUUGAAAUCGGUUUGAAAUCGAUUGAUUGUUUAGGUUUUGAUCGCGAUCUGAUUUACUCGAUUGCGUUCAGAACUUGUUCGCGAUCAGUUUUUUUUUUGAACUUGUUCGUGAUCUACAUGGCGAUCUGAUCGAUUCGAUCAGGCACUCGUCUAUUCCCUAUUCGUGGAAAUCCCCGACAGAAGAAAGAGGUGUUGGCGAUCUGGAUAUUAUCGUAUUCCAUGGAUCCGCUUGUGAUCUGUUUGCGAUUUAAUUUCUGGGAAAUCGCGAUUUAAUUUCUCGUCGCUUGUGAUCUUGCGAUUCUUAUCUGAUUACUGAUUGCGAUCUCUCCUGAUUGAGAUCUACUAAUUUGGUGAUUAGUGAUUGCAAUUUUGAGGUGUGAUAUUUACUGAUUAGUGAUUGCGAAUUAUUCACAUUUGCAAUAUCACAUUACUGAAUAGUCAAUUUAAUUAGUGAUUACUGUUAUGUUCAGAUUUUUUUUUUAAUUCAGAAAAUGUAAUAUCACAUUUGCUUUGCAGGUUUAUGCUAAUAUUGAAGAAAUAUUCUUUGUCUGCAUAUACUAUAUUCUCCUCUGUUUUUUUUUAUUACUGAUUGAAUUUUUUCUCUCCUCUGUUUUGAUUACUGAUAUAAUCAAAUUGUGCAGAUGAAUGCUGAUUACUGAUAUAAUAAAUUUGGUAAUCAAAUUUAUUAUUCAUGAAUGCUAGCUACCAUGAAGAAAAAUCUAGAAAAUGUUCAAGCUAGGAUGAAGCAUCAAGUUGACAAGAGUAGAUCUGAUGUUGUGUAUGAAGAUGAAACAUGGGUACUGGUUAAAUUACAACACUACAGACCGACCACAGUAGCUAACAUAACUCAUAAUAAGCUAUGCCAAAAAUACUUCGGCCCCUAUGAAAUAAAGAGGAAAAUCAACAGAGCUGCUUAUAAAAUCAGAUUACCUCAAGGCAGAAAAAUACAUGAUACAUUUCAUGUUUUCAGAUUGAAGAAAUCUUAUGAAUCAGAUUACCUAAAGGCAGAAAAAUACACGAUACAUUUCAUGUUUUCAGAUUGAAGAAAUUUUAUGGCCCGCCCAAUUCCUGAAAACCAGCCUACAAAUGAUAUCAUGGUUUAAGUUAGCAAUAAACCAAUUAUCUAUCCUAUAGCAGUACUGGAUACAAGAAUGAGUGGACAGGAUAACAAAAGAAAGGUUUCCCCAGAAUUGUUCAAAAGAUGCAAAAAAAUUAAAGCACACUGCGUUUUUAUUACAUCUUAGCUAAACUACACUGCAGAUUUCAGACACUACAACAGUUAUAUAUAGUUAGAGUCAAUCUAGAGUUAAUAGUACAUUAGCUGUUAUAAUAAGUAAUAUAGUUAAUUAGUUAGUUUAGAUUUUUUAGUUACAGGCAAUAGACCUUUGUUAUAAAUAAUGUAUGACUAGUUGUUUAGAAGUAAUUUUCAUUCUUGAUUCUACUACCCAUGAAGAUGUUGAUGAUUGAAUACUACCCAUGAAGAGUGGAUCAAGAUGUUGAUGAUUGAAUAGUAUCCCAUGAAGUUUGAAAUAUCACAAAACAUCACCAUCUCCUCCAAACAAUCAGCCAGAAGACAACUUAUCAUUAUAGCCAUUAGUUUGAAUAUGAAUAGAUCGAAAUAAUGUGUUUUUAUGACUAAUUGAGACCAUUUUUUGGAUACUACUAGGGCGUCAAAUAAAGCCCGGCUCGGGCUCGCGAGCCCUAGCCUCUAGCUCGUUAAGCUCGAUGGGCUCGGUAAGGAUUAUAAAAAAUUAAAAAAAUAUUAAACUUAGAGAGAAUAGAUGUGUAGUAUAGUUGGUAAAAGGUUUGUUUAAUAUUUGAAAAGUCAUAGGUUCGAUCUUUCAUGUCUACAAAUAAUUAUUUUUUUAAUUCGAGUCCAGAAAGUAUAAAAAACUAAAAAAAUAUUAAAUUUAGAGAGAAUGGAGGUGUAGCGCAGAUAAUAAAUCAUUUGUUAAGCAUGUGAGAGGUCACGGGUUCGAUCCUCCAUGUGAGAGCUCGCGGGCUUGAGCCUGAGUCCGAGCUUGGAAAAUAUCUGACGAGCCGAGCCUGAGCCCGAGCUUGGAAAAUAUCUGAUGAGCCGAGCUUGAGCCCGAGCUUGGAAAAUAUCUGCCGAGCCGAGCCUGAGCCCGAGUCCAUAUGAUAUCUCAACGAGCCCAAGUCCGGUUCUAUAAGCAAAAGCUCGGCUCAGCUCGUUUGACACCCUAGAUACUACCAUCGAUAUCCAAAUGUAAGUGUUCCAAUUUUUUGAAAUAUAUUUGACAAAAUAGACGAAUCAAACCAUUUUCAAACUUGAUGGAUAAUGUAUAUACAGAUUUUCCAUCAUUUGAUAAUGCGACUCAUUUUCGUAUUUUAUCUUUUUUUCUCAUAACCUAUGGUAUUCGUGACGACCCAUAUCCAGGCAACGUUGCUUGGAUAAUAGUGAAAUAAUGAAUAAUGCAAAAUAUUUAGUUUACUCGAAUAAAUCCAGGCUAACUAAUUUGUAAUAACACACAAGUACCAUAAAUAUUAACCACUAAAUUAAAAGAAAACUAAAUAAACUACUUUUUUUUUAUAAUUUUUUCCAUUGACCAUAAUUCCAGGCAACGUGGGUAACUUUCCACUAACAGAGUAACCACUCACUAAUAAGAUCGUACAAUAAUCAUCCAUUGCCGCCCGUGAUCGUCGUCGAGGCCAUUUGUGGGGAAGCUCCUCCCUAGCACACACCUCUCCCUAUCCUUGGCUUUUGCGACUUUUUGGUUAUUCACAGACACAGGUUCGUUGUUCGACUCUCCGCCAACAAUUGUUUGAGUCGGCCGAGGAAAGGCUUGAGAAUCUUCAUUUUGCCACACACUAUGAGAAUCUUCAUUUUAAAGAAAGUCCAGCUAGCUGAUCUACGGGAGUAUUUUGUUGUUGCUGCUGGACAACGUUUCUGAGCACUUCCAUUGCUUCACCAACCUUUGCUUUUAGUGCCUCGGGUGAUUCCAGCAAGUGCAGAACUUCAGUUUGGUCCAUCUCAAGAAGCAUUCCAGUAACCUUAGCAACCAUAUCAUGCUCAAUUUGAUCAACAAGUGGGUACAAACUUUCUCUAAGCAUCUACAAAACAAAACAAAAAAUUAUAUUGAAAACUAGAACAAAAAACUUCAAUAAAUAUAUAAAAGACUUGUAAUGUAUAAUAUCCUCUGCAGAUCAGUAGGAGCGUUAGCAAGGGAUGAAUCCAGUGCUGAGAUAGGUAUAGGCUGUGAUAUAGCGGCAUCUCUUCCAGGAAAACCACCCAUGUCAAAUGGAGAAGAAAGCAUGCCACAACUUGUACCAAGAAUCGGCAUAUCAGGUAUGUUUCUUCCAGGUGGGAAACGAUACAUCCUUCCAUCACCCCUUGGAAACAUCUGCAAAACAGAAGACAGAAAGAAUGAAAUCAAGAAUGAACUCUCAUAGAAAACAAGAUAAAGAGUAAAAAAAAUAUAAGCCAGAAAACCUGUUGCUGAACCAUCGGCAUUGGUUGCAUGGGUCUUCCUGGUUCAGUACGCCUACCACCUCCGGGCCUUGGCCAAAAUAGAGCACCUCCAAGCCUCAUACCAAGAAUAAGUGGUUGUUGAUAACCAAAACCAGGCUAAAAAAAUAUCAGCACAUUAGACUCAGAAAAUCUUACAGCAUUGGAAGCCUCUUCAACGGUUGAGAAAGCAACAAAACCAGAGCCUCUACUAACUCCAUUACUAUCGACAAUGAUUCUUAUCGACGGUCUUCUUAAUAUUCUGCUCAUAUUUAGCCUUCAGUUCUUGCUCCCUUUCAGAUUUCUUUAGAGCCUUAUCAACAUACCACUCCUUGUCAACAAAUUUUUUCCCAUUAAGAGAAUCAACAUCAUUUGCAGCAUCUUUAGAAUUAUCGAAAUUGACAAAACCAAAACAUUUCGACUUUCCAUCACCUUCUCUCAUCACAACAGCACUUGUGAUUUGUCCAAAUUCACUAAAAACUUUUUUCAGGUCAUCUUGAGUCAUUGUUCGAGAAAAAUUCUUAACAAAAACAUUGUUAAAUUUCACAUUGUAUGGGGGGGGGUUAUUAUCUCUAUCCUGCUUGCGCAAAAAUGGACCUACAAACACUUUCUUACCAUUAAGUAGUAUUCCAUUUAGCUUUUCUAUAGCAAAUUGUGCAGAAUCUUUUCUUCGAAUUGGGCUUAAUAACUACUGAUAAAUAUAAUCACUACCUGUUAGAGUAACUACUUUGUUAGUAACUACUUUCCUAUAAUAUCUAAAUAAACGGAAGUAGUUAUAGAAUAUUACUAGAGUAAUAAAUUGUAUAAAUAGAUAUGACUAUCAAACAUAAAGGUGAUCGAGUUUGGUUUUCUCAUUUGAUACAUUUCAAUUGACUAUUACGGGAUUGACGAUGUUAAAACAUGCGAGAAUGUCGACAGAAUAUUGGGAUUACGUGUUUAUGACAGCAGUACAUUUAUAUAACAGAAAUCCAACCGUAAUUCUUGAUUACAAGUCACCGUAUGAAGCAUUGUUCAAACAACUCCAGAAUACAACAGAUUGCAUGUUUUUGGAGCAAAGUGCUUCCCAAAUCUUCGUCCGUAUAGAAACAACAAACUCCAAGACAAAUCUGAACCAUGUUUAUUUAUGUGAUAUCCGGUAAAUUCAAAUGGAUAUAUUUGUAUGAGUGCAGGUGACGGAAGAAUUAUCAUAUCACGCGAUGUAAUAUUCAUUGAUGAUAAUUUCUUAUUAAGGAAAUCAGAUGACAAAUGCAACGAUAAGGGAAAUGAACCUGAUGAGGAGAGCUGUUUAAUUGAAGAAUAUGUACCCAAAGAUGGUCAAAAUUUCCAAAGCACGGGCUGCUGCAAAAUAAAAUUGUAAAACAAUUUAAAGAUACUAGAAUAACAAUAACAUUAGUAAAACAUUUUAUAAACAAUGAAAAAAACAAACAAGAAUAAAAAAUAUCUUGGAAUAUAUCUAAAUAUAAAAAAACAAUCAACAAGAAUCGAUUUGAAUGAAAUUAUUACCACACAUAAUUUAUUUGUUAUGAGAACAGAAAAAGGUAAAAAAAAACGAUAAAAUAGUAACAAUUUAAAAAGCAAGUCUGAUUGAAAUAUAUAUGAUAGCAAAAAAUAUAGGUUAUUUUUAAUAAAACGAGUGAGUAUAUGCAAUAAAUAGAUGAUGAAAAAGAAGAGAAUACCCUCCGGAGGAUGGUUGUAAUUGACAUAUAUGCAUACCCAAGAGACCUUCUGUAAGGCUCUACAGACCCUUACAGAAACGACCUAUCUGAGCAGACUGAAUAGGUCAAAAACUUACAAAUCAGUUACUGUGGGAUCUAAAUCUCCGACAUAUAGAGAUGUUAGACUGUGAAAGGGAGCACCAGCAGUAGUUUCAAAGUAUCAAACAGCAAAAUAACCUGGUUUGUAGACUUCAGAAGAGCUUGUAUGGGUUGAAGCAAGCACCUCGAAGUGGUACAAGAAAUUUGAUAGCUAUCUCAGUGUCAUAGGCUUCAAGAGGUGUGACACGGAUUCCUGUUGCUACAGAAAGCAAUUGACCGAUUUCUAUAUUAUUCUUGUCGUUUAUGUUGAUAUGCUCAUUACUAGUGCAAACAUGAAAGAGAUAAAUCAUCUGAAGAAACAACUUUCAAAGGAAUUUGAGAUGAAAGAUCUGGGAGCAGCGAUUUUGGACAUGAGGAUCAUCCGGGAUGAGUCCUCAGGAAUUCUGAAACUGGGUCAACAAAGGUACAUUGAAAAGGUUCUUGAGAAGUUCAGCUUUGCAAACGAAUCGAAUUCGAAUAUCCGGAUAUUAAACGAAUUCGAAUUCGAAUAUGAUGGUAUUCGGUUCGUUUACAUGCCUAGUGUUAUAAAAGAUGACUGAGUUUUGCACUUUCUCCUUCUCCUGAUUUCUUCAAAAAUAAUCAGGUCCCUAAUAUCAUUCCACUUAAGCUUUCCAUGACCAAUAGAGCUGCUCACACUUGUAGCAACUUGUUCCCGACUUUCUGGUAGAGAUGAUAACAAAAUAAGUGCUCUAAGUUCAUCGUCAAUGUUGAUAUCCACAGAGGACAACUGUGUCAACAACACAUUUACUUGAUUCACAUGAUCAACAACAUUUGCUUCUUCACUCAUCUUGAGAUUGAACAAAUUACGCAUCAGAAAAACUGUUUGUUGCUGUAGGCUUUUGAUACAUAUUCGUCAAGGUUUCCAACACCUCUAUUGUCGUGGUGCACUUGGAGAUGUUGAAGGCAACGUUCUUAGCCAAGGUGGGUCUAAUAAGGCUAAUAGCUUUUCUGUCGAGAAGCUUCCAAUCUUCAUCACUCAUAUCUGCCGGUCUUGUGCCCAACAUCGGAGCAUGAAGGUUCUUUGCAUAAAGGUAGUCCUCUAUUUGCAUUUUCCAAUAUGCAAAAUCGCUCCCUUCAAACCUAUCGACCCUAUGCUUUAUUUCAUCUACUAUUUCAAACACAACUACUGCUCUGGAAAGUCUGGAUACACGUCGAUAGGGGGUUUACAAACCCUAACCAGGAAAGCCACGAUCUGAAAAACCAAAAAAAACAAAAAACCACCGACCAAAAAAAAGAAACUGACAGACCAAGAGGAUUCCUGGUCUGAAAAAAAGAAACUAAAUACACCGACCAGGAAGAAGAACUAUGAUCUGAAAGCCAUAGACACGUUGACCAGAUGACCAGGAAUAUCCGCCGACUGGAAGACAGCGGAACGCCGGUCUGGAAAACCUUCCCUUUGAAAAAAAAAUCGAUAUGGAAAUACCCGCCGGCUGGAAGACAGAGGAACGUAGGUCUGGAAACCCUCCCUCAAAAAAAACCUCGAUCUGGAAAUCAGGAAACACGUCAACUUUUGCUCUUCUCUCUUCGAUUUUAAUCCAACCUCGCUCUGAUACCAAUUGAUAGGAUCGAUACCUAAAUCGAACUGAGAAAACCGAGCGAAAACAAACACAAUACACAGAAUUUACGUUGUUCGGCAAUGUGCCUACGUCCACGGGGGUGUCUCCAUUCUUCUUCUUUUUCUCUCAAAAAGAGUACAAGUAAUUAUAAGAUACUUAUAUGGGUGAUUAGGGUUGUCGUUUUGUGUUUGUAACUCCUAAUCUCUAUUACAAGGCUUAAAGCCCAUUUAACAGAAUUAAUCAUAUUUUAAUUCUAAUGCUCAUAAAAGACCUACAUUAAUUCUAAUUAUAAUUAAUGCCCUUCUAAAAAACGUCUCAACACUCUAACUAAUGGAGCAAUUAAUCAAUUGAAAUGAAACAAUACCUCAAGAUAUCGUGGAUGAUAAAAAAUCUGAAAUUCCAACACUUCAGUUUCAGCAAGAAAAGAUCUAUUGGAAUCCACCAAUAGCUCCACUAGAAUCCAUUAGUAGAAUAGGAAAAAUCAGAUAGGAGUCCACCUGAUCCGAUGAAGAAUAAGCAAGAAUCUCAAGAGUUUUUUUGAGAAAAACGUAGGAGAGAGAAAAGUAGAGUAAUUUCACCUUUGGAAAAUAUAUGCUACGGGUUUGAGUCCACUCCUAUUUAUACUCCCAAUGUAUAAGAGUGGAAAUUCCACAUUGGGAGUUGGACAGUCCAAUUAAAGAGACUGAGCCAUGGCUCGAGUUAACUCGAGCCAAUGACCUUGUAGAUCAUUGUAAUGGGCUACAUCACUAACAAAUUCAACAUUUCCAACACCUUCAAUAUCUCAGAUCUACAAACCUACUAUCCACUGGAUGAAGGACCGGUUUACGGACAUUCGAGGUCGACUGUCGCCGCAGUGGAGGCGCUUGAUGAAGGAGCUGUAGGGAAGUCAACGCAGCCCACGGCGUAACAGCAAAUGGGUAAGUUAGGAACGACUAACUGACCGAACGGCGACGUCAUUAAUUAUAAAAAUUGGAGGCUGCAAGGACUUCGGGGAAGAUGUUUUGCUUACCUCAAGGUACUACCUCUUCACUGCUCUCUCAGUUUCGUUCCUUCGUCUUCUCUAAUUUCUAUGGUGGAAUCCAGAUUCUAUCAACCGGUGGAUUCCGGCUCGGCGACGUGAUCUGUUCGGCGUCUCUCUAUCGCAACUCUGUCAAGUUGCCCGUGUGUAAAUCUGCAAUUACAUAUUCUAUGUUAAAUGAGUCUUGGGCCAUUAUGAUCCAUUACAAUUAAAUAGGUUUAAUUCUAUGUUAAAUGAGUCUUGGGCCUUGUAAUGAUGAUUAGGAGUUGCAAACAUAAAUCGGCAACACUAAUCAUCAUUAUAAAUAUCUUUUAAUGCUUCUAUUCUGUUGUGAGGGAGAAAGAAGAAUAGCUGAGGCACCCCGUGGACUUAAGCACAUUGUUGAACCACGUAAAUCUGUGUUUUCUUUUUCUCAAUUCGAUUUUAGGGUUCUUCUUAUCAUACUUCCAUUCAUCUGGACAAGUUGAAUUCCAGAGAGAAGUCCCAGCGAAACAGAGCCAGAGCAACUGAAGAGUUUGAGUUGAUUUUCGCGUGCAGCUUUCAACUUGACGCUUGUUUAAAGCGUCUUCGAGCAUUGAUCGGAUUCCACCCUCAUCAGUUAUGAUGGGAUAAAAAAUAUCAUUAUUUACUACGAAAAGAUGAUAAAUACCAUUCAGAUCCAAUAUACAAAAAAUGGACAGGGCCAUGGUUCCGGAUGCACGCGCAUAUGCGCAGAUGCGACCUCCCUUAGCCGGAUCCGGUCAUGAAUUAAAAAAAAACUGGCCAAAAAAAAAAAAUUUAAGUCCGAAAAAAUAUUUUAAGGUCAAAAAUUUAUUUUUAUGCCAAAAAUUUAUACAUUGGUCCAUGAAAAGAGCUAUAUUAUUUUUAAUAUAAGCUCCUCCCACUCUUAAGACUUCAUAUUUGUUUUAGACAAAAUGAAUCUUUAUUUAUAAACCAACCUUCUUUGUGUUUUUUGAAUUCUAUCGAUGUUAGACUAAAAAAGUGUAGUUAAAUAAAUUAUAAAGUAUUCUUUGUACUUUUUGAAUUCUAUCAAUGUGGUAUAAAUAAAGUGUACAUGUAUUAAAUAAAUUAUAGUGUUAUAUGCAUUUUUUAUAUCCUAUCAAUAUAGGACUAAAUAAAAUAUACAUGUGUUAAAUAAAUUAUAGUGUUACAAUGAAUUAUAGGGUGUUAUAAUAAUUAAUAAAUAUAUGUAUUAUAAUAAUUUUUCUAUCCUGAAAGUCUCCCCAAAGCAGAGGGAGGCUUAGGGGUCAGAAACCUAGGAAUCAUAGUACCUGCCAUAAAUAUCAAAAGAAUUACAAACUUCUGGACAAAAUCAGACUCAAUCUUUAACACAUGGAUCCAAGAGAGAUACAUAAAAGGACGAGCCCUCACAAACAUCCUUGUCAGGACCAUCAUUGACUCCCAUUUUUGGAAAUAUGUAAUGGCAGACAACCCCAAUGCUAUUGCACUAGUUGAAUGUAGGGCCAAUUAUACAACCCUUUGGAAAAAUGGAAACCCAAUCAGAAAACUUGCAGCAAUAUGUGAGGAGAUCAGGGAUAAAAUCCAUAAGGAUAGCCUAGCUGAAGGAAUAUGGACUCAUAAACCCACAAAGUUUUCCAUUUUCUAUGGAGGAUAAAGUGGGCACACCUAAACACCUUUAUCAAACUAAAUGGAUGGGGUAUGCCAAUCCAGCCCACAUGUUUAUUAUGCAAUAUGGAGAAUGAAUCCAGAGCCCACCUAUUUUUCAAUUUUUCCUACUCUAGAGCCAUCCUGCUUCCCCUGGUUAAAAACUUAAAUAACAUUUUCUGGAAGAUACUAAAAAUACCCACUCCCACCACCACUCACCCAGAUAUUAGAAUAGGGGACCUAACCGAGGAAUGUCAAAGGCUGCCACAUCACUCUCCAAUUUGGGGAAGCACCCAUGAAGGAAGAUAGUUCAGAUGAUGAGUAUGAUGAUGAAGCAUCUCCAGAUGAAGGAGAGAGAUUUUCAUGCAUAAUCCAGAGAAUAUGCCACACACCUCAACAAGAGCUGCAAAGUCAGAGGAAUAAUUUAUUCAGGACUAGAGGCACAAUUAAAGGAAGGGUCUGUGAUAUUAUAAUAGAUAACGGAUCAACUGGUAAUCUGAUUUCGUGGAAUGCAGUGAAAAAAUUAGGUUUAGAGGUGGAGGAACACAAAAACCCUUACAGUGUAUGGUGGAUUCACAGUGGGAAUUCAGUAGCUGUGGAUAAAAGUUACAGUAUUUGCAUUUUCCGUACUUUAAUAGAGAUCAAAACACAUUCUAUGAUUGAGAUCUGCUGAGUUACUAAUAUUGCAUUUUGAUUUAUUGUGUCAUUUGAAUGAAAGCUGACAGUAUAACAAAAGUAAAAUACAUGUGACCAUGGGGAUAUCAACGGGAAGUAAUGAUGUUUAAUCAUAAUGGCUACAACUGUAUUAAAAAAAUCGUUAUCUAAUAUGGAACAAUGAUAGAUUCAGUUGGUGUUCAAUAUACAAAAAAUGAACAGCUUGUGUGGACUGAUAAAAUUGAUAAAAAAAGCAGCAAUAACAACCAUAAAGAGGCCAGAUCUCAUCAAUAUUGUCUUUUAUUAUAUCACUGGGCACUAAAAGUAUGAAUUAUUGUUUCAUAAAUCAAUUUAAUAGGGAUGAAAAUAUUUAUGUAUGCUAUAGAAGUUAGGAGUUCGAUAUAUAGAAGUAUAGAAUUUAUGUAUUGACAUGAUCACAUGAAUCCAUGGCUAUAUAUGCCAGGGUCAGCCAUUAAAGAAAGCAACAAUGUUUUACAUAUUCUGUUAUGCUUUUUAGCCUUACUACCUGUAUUUAAUUUCUCUAUAAUUCUACUCGAGCUAUGCCCACCCAUUUUAUUUUCAGCAAUGAAAUUUUCAAUUCAUUGGAAAAAUAUGAUCACAUGAAGAUACCAAUUAUUUAUCAUUAACAAAAUCAUUUUUUCUUUCAAACAUUUUCUCAUACAGUUAAAACUUUUCAAUAAAAUAAGGACCAAACCUAGCUUACAUGAUAGAUUGGGAGAUGAGCAAUUGAGCAUGGUCACAAACUCACCACCUUGAUCCUAUUGAUUGAAGCCGCAAAAUAUAGAAUUCCCAUUAAAUUAUAUCAUUGACCUUAAUCCGAUUCAGAUUGGGUUUUGGUUAUCAAAAUAGAUUGUAACAUCCUUAGUAUUAGUGCAAAGAAACGAUUAAAGUUAAUUACAUAUAUUUGUUAGUUGUUGACUUUAUAGAUAUGCUCUAAUCUCUAUCAAAAAAUUAAAGGGUAUAGAGGUGUAAUAACAUUAUGUGUGUGUGUUUACACUGGCAAUAACAACCUCAUUUGUUAUUCUAAUUUCUAGAUCUAGCCCACCAUCAAUCUACCUUCACUCAUCAACACUUAGAGAUAUGCUUGCUUGGCGAGUUCUUUCGGAGGUCUGAGGAUGAAUUGCUUGGAUCUUCCGUUUCUCUCACACCAGAUGUUUCAAGCUAGUGAGCCAAGAAUUGCUCAUUACAACUCCAACAGCUAGAGUGUUUGCUGAACUUUUCUAUCCCCUAUUCCUCUCAAUGAUGUCCUCAUUACUGUCCUGUGGGGUAGGAUGUUAAGUUUUAUCCAAAUAGUUGAAUAUAGAUGGUUUUGGAUGAGGUUGAUAUAGGAUCUUCCGAACAUAAGACACAUGAUAAUCCUCCUACUCGAACCUUAAAUAACGGUGAUUCCUUAUCCGAAAAAAUCAUCUCGAAAUAUCUGAAACCAUCUCGGGUUAUGUCUUGUGAUAAAAACGUACUAUGUUUGAUAUGUCAGGUAUUUUGAUUUCUUCAUUAACCUCAAAUGAAUAUCUACAUGAGUGUUUAUAUCAAUUGAAAAACAAGUAAUGACUAACAAAACUAACUAUCUAUUUAGUUAACUAACUAAUAUAAGCAGUGAAUCAAUCUUAUUUUCUCUGAACCAAUGAAUGAAUCACUAAUCUUAAUUGACAUUAUCUUCAGGAAUAUUUUGAGAUGAUGAGAAGGUCGGAAGAUUGUAUUGUGACCAUAAGUUCCACUUCAGUUGCAUAAAGAGUUGGUUGAUUAUAUAGAAUAAAUGUGUCCCAACUGUAGAGCGAGUGCGAUCGGCCUUUUAAAUUCACUGUGAGGUUUAUGUUAAAAGAUAGAGUAGUGAAACAUGGUUUUUUCGAAUGUACUUGACUUUAUUGACCAAUCGAUGACGAUCUUAGAUGAUCGUACGAAAAUUGUAUUCAAUCGAUCAGUAUUUUGCAUGAAUGUAAAUGAUGAUUAUAAUGUUCAUUUAUAGUGAUGAGUAAGUUACACAACAACAACUAUUUAGUUAGUUAUGUUACUUAUGUAAAUGGAUUAGCUUUGCCAAAUCCGUAACACCCUCUCUCAAGUGGAGCGGGUGUUCUGUGGAACUCUGAUACCAUAUUGACUAAUCGAUGAUGAUCGGAGAUAAUCGUAGAUUGUAUUCAAUCAAUCUGUAUUUUGCAUGAAUGUAAAUGAUGAUUAGAAUGUUUACUUAUAGUGAUGAGUGAUGAGUUAGUUACACUAUAAUAACUAUUUAGCGAGUUAUGUUACUUAUGUAAACGCAUUAGCUUUGCCUAAUCUGUAACAAACUUAAUUCUUCUCUUUAGAUUAACCUGUGAGUUUAAUUAGGAUUGUAAUAGUAGUGAUUAGUAUAAGCUAAAUUGCAUGUAUUGAUUGUCUAAAGUUUGUAAAUUUUCUAUGAAGUCUUUUACUGAUUGUGAAUUCUGAUAAAUUCUUUUUAGUGGAAGAGAAAUUUAUUUUGAAUCUUUUUUAUAAUUAAACUCGUCUCAUAAAAUGUUGACGUCGAGAUUAAUUAGCAAAAUCUAAUGUAUUGUAUUUAAAUCGCCGUACUGUUCUCAGACCACUGUAAUGUACUGAAGUUCCAUCGAGCCGGCAGACCUGCUUUCACCAUAUCGACGGUCAGGUAAGGUUAAUUACUUAAUUAAUACUCUAUUUCUUUUGUUAUAGUUGGUUUUAGACGAAAUCGAUGCAGAAUCAAUCGGAUUGAUGAUACCCAAUCGCUCUUCUACUCCAACCUCAAUUUUAGACUAGCUUUAAAGUUUUUCCUAAUGACUUAACUUUCAUAAAUACAAUUUUUUUGACCAUGAAACUAUAAAAGUGAAAGGUUGGUUGAUUAAUGCUGUUUUUUUUUUCUUAUAUCAUAGAUCAUAGAUGGUUUUGGAUGAGGUUGAUAUAGGAUCUUCCGAAUAUACGAUACAUGAUAAUCCUCCUACUCGAACUUUAAAUAACGGUGAUUCCUUAUGAUUCCUUAUCAGAAUAAAUCAUCUCGAAAUAUCUGAAACCAUCUCGAGUUAUGUCUUGUGAUAAAAACGUACUAUCUUCGAUAUGUCAGGUAUUUUGAUUUAUUCAUUAACCUCAAACGAAUGUUUACAUGAGUAUUUAUAGCAAAUGAAAAACAAGUAAUGACUAACAAAACUAACGAUCUAUUUAGUUAACUAACUAAUACAAGCAAUGACAGUUAUUUUCUCUGAACCAAUGAAUGAAUCUCUAAUCUUAAUUGACAUUUUUUUCAGGAAUCUUUUGAAGAUGAUGAGAAUGUCGGCAGAUUGGAUUGUGACCAUGAGUUCCACUUCAGUUGCAUAAAGAGUUGGUUGAUUAUACAGAAUAAAUGUCCCAACUGUAGAUCAAGUGCGAUCGGUCUUUUAAAUUCACUGUAAGGUUUAUGUUAAAAGAUAGAGCUGUGAAGCAUGGUUCUUUCGAAUGUAAAUGACUUUAUUGACCAAUCUAUGAUGAUCUGAGAUUAUCAGAGAUGAUCAUACAUAGAUUGCAUUCAAUCAAUCUGUAUUUUGUAUGAAUGUAAAUGAUGAUCACAAUGUUUAUUUAUAGUGAUUAGUGAUGAGUUAGUUACACUACAACAACUAUUUAGUUAGUUAUGUUACUUAUGUAAAUAGAUUAGCUUUGCCUAAUCCGUAACACCCCCCUUCAAGUGGAGCGGGAGUUCUGUGGAACUCUGAUACCAUAUUGACCAAUCGAUGAUGAUCGGAGAUGAUCGUAGAUUUUAUUCAAUCAAUCUGUAUUUUGCAUGAAUGUAAAUGAUGAUUACAAUGUUUAUUUAUAGUGAUGAGUUAAUUACACUACAAUAACUAUUUAGUUAGUUAUCUUACUUAUGUAAAUGGAUUAGUUUUGCCUAAUCCGUAACAGACUUAAUUCUUCUUUUUAGAUUAACUUGUGAUUUAAUCAGGGUUGUAAUAGUAGUGAUUAGUAUAAGCUAAAUUGCAUGUACGGAUUGUCUAAAGUUUGUAAAUUUUCUAUGAAGUCAUUUGCUGAUUGUGAAUUCUUAUAAAAUUCUUUUUAGUGGAAGAGAAAUUUAUUUUUAAUCUUCUUUAUAAUUAAACUCGUCUCAUAAAAUGUUGACGUCAGGAUUAUUUAGCAAAAUCUAAUGUAUUGUAUUUAAAUCGUCGUACUGUUCUCAGACCACUGUAUUGUACUGAGGUUCCAUCGAGCCGACAGACCUCCUUUCACCAUAUCGGUGGUCAUGUAAGGUUAAUUAUUACUUAAUUAAUACUCUAUUUCUUUUGUUAUAGCUGGUUUUAGACGAAAUUGAUGCAUAAUCAAUCGGAUUGAUGGUACCCAAUCACUCUUCUACUCCAACCUCCAUUUUAGACUAGCUUUAAAGUUUUUCCUAAUGACUUAACUUUCAUAAAUACAAUUUUUGUGACCAUGAAACUAUAAAAGUGAAAGGUUGGUUGAUUAAUCCUGUUUUUUUUUCUUAUAUCACAGAUAGUUUUGGAUGAGGAUGAUAUAGGAUCUUCCGAACAUACGAGACAUGAUAAUUCUUCUACUCGAACCUUAAAUAACGGAAAUUCUGUAUCAGAAAAAAUCAUCUCAAAAUAUCUGAAACCAUCUCAAGUUAUGUCUUGUGAUAAAAACGUACUAUGUUCGAUAUGUCAUGUAUUUUGAUUUAUUCAUUAACCUCAAAUGAAUGUUUACAUAAUUAUUUAUAGCAAUUGAAAAACAAGUAAUGACUAACAAAACUAACUAUCUAUUUAGUUAACUACCUAAUACAAGCAAUGACAGUUAUUUUCACUGAACCAAUGAAUGAAUCUCUAAUCUUAAUUGACAUUUUUUUCAGGAAUCUUUUGAAGAUGAUGAGAAUGUCGGCAGAUUGGAUUGUGACCAUGAGUUCCACUUCAGUUGCAUAAAGAGUUGGUUGAUUAUACAGAAUAAAUGUCCCAACUGUAGAUCAAGUGCGAUCGGACUUUUAAAUUCACUGUAAGGUUUAUGUUAAAAGAUAGAGCAGUGAAGCAUGGUUCUUUCGAAUGUACUUGACUUUAUUGACCAAUCUAUGAUGAUCUGAGAUGAUCAGAGAUGAUCGUACAUAGAUUGCAUUCAAUCAAUUUGUAUUUUGUAUGAAUGUAAAUGAUGAUUAUAAUGUUUAUUUAUAGUGAUUAGUGAUGAGUUAGUUACACUACAACAACUAUUUAGUUAGUUAUGUUACUUAUGUAAAUAGAUUAGCUUUGCCUAAUCCGUAACACCCCCCUUCAAGUGGAGCGGGAGUUCUGUGGAGCUCUGAUACCAUAUUGACCAAUCGAUGAUGAUUGGAGAUGAUCGUAGAUUUUAUUCAAUCAAUCUGUAUUUUGCAUGAAUGUAAAUGAUGAUUACAAUGUUUAUUUAUAGUGAUGAGUAAUAAGUUAGUUACACAACCAUAACUAUUUAGUUAGUUAUCUUACUUAUGUUAAUGGAUUAGCUUUGCCUAAUCCGUAACAGCCUUAAGUCUUCUCUUUAGAUUAACCUGUGAUUUAAUCAGGGUUGUAAUAGUAGUGAUUAGUAAAAGCUAAAUUGCAUGUACCGAUUGUCCAAAGUUUGUAAAUUUUCUAUGAAGUCAUUUCCUGAUUGUAAAUUCUCAUAAAAUUCUUUUUAGUGGAAGAGAAAUUUAUUUUUAAUCUUCUUUAUAAUUAAACUCGUCUCAUAAAAUGUUGACGUCAGGAUUAUUUAGCAAAAUCUAAUGUAUUGUAUUUAAAUCGUCGUACUGUUCUCAGGCCACUGUAUUAUACUGAGGUUCCAUCGAGCCGGCAGACCUCCUUUCACCAUAUCGGUGGUCAUGUAAGGUUAAUUAUUACUGAAUUAAUACUCUAUUUCUUUUGUUAUAGCUGGUUUUAGACGAAAUUGAUGCAUAAUCAAUCGGAUUGAUGGUACCCAAUCACUCUUCUACUCCAAUCUUCAUUUUAGACUGGCUUUAAAGUUUUUCCUAAUGACUUAACUUUCAUAAAUACAAUUUUUUUGACCAUGAAACUAUAAAAGUGAAAGGUUGGUUGAUUAAUCCUGUUUUUUUUUCUUAUAUCACAGAUAGUUUUGGAUGAGNNNNNNNNNNNNNNNNNNNNNNNNNNNNNNNNNNNNNNNNNNNNNNNNNNNNNNNNNNNNNNNNNNNNNNNNNNNNNNNNNNNNNNNNNNNNNNNNNNNNGGUGAUUCCUUAUGAUUCCUUAUCAGAAUAAAUCAUCUCGAAAUAUCUGAAACCAUCUCGAGUUAUGUCUUGUGAUAAAAACGUACUAUCUUCGAUAUGUCAGGUAUUUUGAUUUAUUCAUUAACCUCAAACGAAUGUUUACAUGAGUAUUUAUAGCAAUUGAUAAACAAGAAGUGACUAACAAAACUGACUAUCUAUUUAGUUAACUAACUAAUACAAGCAAUGACAGUUAUUUUCUCUGAACCAAUGAAUGAAUCUCUAAUCUUAAUUGACAUUUUUUUCAGGAAUCUUUUGAAGAUGAUGAGAAUGUCGGCAGAUUGGAUUAUGACCAUGAGUUCCACUUCAGCUGCAUAAAAAGUUGGUUGAUUAUACAGAAUAAAUGUCCCAACUGUAGAUCAAGUGCGAUCUGACUUUAAAAAUCACUGUAAGGUUUAUGUUAAAAGAUAGAGCAGUGAAGCAUGGUUCUUUCGAAUGUACUUGACUUUAUUGACCAAUCUAUGAUGAUCUGAGAUGAUCAGAGAUGAUCGUACAUAGAUUGCAUUCAAUCAAUUUGUAUUUUGUAUGAAUGUAAAUGAUGAUUAUAAUGUUUAUUUAUAGUGAUUAGUGAUGAGUUAGUUACACUACAACAACUAUUUAGUUAGUUAUGUUACUUAUGUAAAUAGAUUAGCUUUGCCUAAUCCGUAACACCCCCCUUCAAGUGGAGCGGGAGUUCUGUGGAGCUCUGAUACCAUAUUGACCAAUCGAUGAUGAUUGGAGAUGAUCGUAGAUUUUAUUCAAUCAAUCUGUAUUUUGCAUGAAUGUAAAUGAUGAUUACAAUGUUUAUUUAUAGUGAUGAGUGAUAAGUUAGUUACACAACAAUAACUAUUUAGUUAGUUAUCUUACUUAUGUUAAUGGAUUAGCUUUACCUAAAUUAAACCCGUCUCAUAAAAUGUUGACGUCGGGAUUAUUUAGCAAAAUCUAAUGUAUUGUAUUUAAAUCGUCGUACUGUUCUCAAACCACUGUAUUGUACUGAGGUUCCAUCGAGCCGGCAGAUCUCCUUUCACCAUAUCGGCGGUCAUGUAAGGUUAAUUACUUAAUUAAUACUCUAUUUCUUUUGUUAUAGCUGGUUUUAGACGAAAUCGAUCCAGAAUCAAUCGGAUUGAUGGUACCCAAUCACUCUUCUACUCCAACCUCUAUUUUAGACUGGCUUGUAAGUUUUUCCUAAUGUCUUAACUUUCAUAAAUACAAUUUUUCUGACCAUGAAAAUAUAAGAGUGAAAGGUUGGUUGAUUAAUGUUGUUUUCUUCUUCUUAUAUCACAGAUGGUUUUCGAUGAGGUUGAUAUAGGAUCUUCCGAACAUACCACACAUGAUAAUCCUCCUACUCGAACCAUAAAUAACGGAGAUUCUGAUCCGAAAAAAUCAUCUCGAAAUAUCUGAAACCAUCUCGAGUUAUGUCUUGUGAUAAAAACGUACUAUGUUCGAUAUGUCAGGUAUUUUGAUUUAUUUAUUAACCACAAAUGAAUGUAUACAUGAGUGUUUAUAGCAAUUGAUAAACAAGUAGUGACUAACAAACCUGACUAUCUAUUUAGUUAACUAACUAAUACAAGCAAUGACAGUUAUUUUCUCUGAACCAAUGAAUGAAUCUCUAAUCUUAAUUGACAUUUUUUUCAGGAAUCUUUUGAAGAUGAUGAGAAUGUCGGCAGAUUGGAUUAUGACCAUGAGUUCCACUUCAGCUGCAUAAAAAGUUGGUUGAUUAUACAGAAUAAAUGUCCCAACUGUAGAUCAAGUGCGAUCUGACUUUAAAAAUCACUGUAAGGUUUAUGUUAAAAGAUAGAGCAGUGAAGCAUGGUUCUUUCGAAUGUACUUGACUUUAUUGACCAAUCGACGAUGAUCUGAGAUGAUCAGAGAUGAUCGUACAUAGAUUGCAUUCAAUCAAUUUGUAUUUUGUAUGAAUGUAAAUGAUGAUUACAAUGUUUAUUUAUAUCGAUUAGUGAUGAGUUAGUUACACUACAACAACUAUUUAAUUAGUUAUGUUACUUAUGUAAAUAGAUUAGCUUUGCCUAAUCCGUAACACCCCCCUUCAAGUGGAGCGGGAGUUCUGUGGAGCUCUGAUACCAUAUUGACCAAUCGAUGAUGAUCGGAGAUGAUCGGAGAUUUUAUUCAAUCAAUUUGUAUUUUGCAUGAAUGUAAAUGAUGAUUACAAUGUUUAUUUAUAGUGAUGAGUGAUAAGUUAGUUACACAACAAUAACUAUUUAGUUAGUUAUCUUACUUAUGUUAAUGGAUUAGCUUUACCUAAAUUAAACUCGUCUCAUAAAAUGUUGACGUCGGGAUUAUUUAGCAAAAUCUAAUGUAUUGUAUUUAAAUCGUCGUACUGUUCUCAAACCACUGUAUUGUACUGAGGUUCCAUCGAGCCGGCAGAUCUCCUUUCACCAUAUCGGCGGUCAUGUAAGGUUAAUUACUUAAUUAAUACUCUAUUUCUUUUGUUAUAGCUGGUUUUAGACGAAAUCGAUCCAUAAUCAAUUGGAUUGAUGGUACCAAAUCACUCUUCUACUCCAACCUCCAUUUUAGACUGGCUUAUAAGUUUUUCCUAAUGUCUUAACAUUUAUAUAUACAAUUUUUUUGACCAUGAAAAUAUAAAAGUGAAAGGUUGGUUGAUUAAUGUUAUUUUUUUCUUAUAUCACAGAUGGUUUUGGAUGAGGUUGAUAUAGGAUCUUCCGAACAUACGACACAUGAUAAUCGUCCUACUCGAACCUUAAAUAACGGAGAUUCUGUAUCCGAAAAAAUCAUCUCAAAAUAUCUGAAACCAUCUCGAGUUAUGUCUUGUGAUAAAAACGUACUAUGUUCGAUAUGUCAGGUAUUUUGAUUUAUUCAUUAACCUCAAAUGAAUGUUUACAUGAGUGUUUAUAGCAAUUGAUAAACAAGUAGUGACUAACAAAACUGACUAUCUAUUUAGUUAACUAACUAAUACUGUUAUUUUUUCUGAUUCAAUGAAUGGAUCUCUAAUCUUAAUUGACAUUUUUUUCAGGAAUCUUUUGAAGAUGAUGAGAAUGUCGGCAGAUUGGAUUGUGACCAUGAGUUCCACUUCAGUUGCAUAAAGAGUUGGUUGAUUAUACAGAAUAAAUGUCCCAACUGUAGAUCAAGUGCGAUCGGUCUUUUAAAUUCACUGUAAGGUUUAUGUUAAAAGAUAGAGCAGUGAAACAUGGUUAUUUCGAAUGUAUUUGACUUUAUUGACCAAUAGAGAUGAUCGUACGUAGAUUUUAUUCAAUCAAUCUUUAUUUUGCAUGAAUGUAAAUGAUAAUUACAAUGUUUAUUUAUAGUGAUGAGUUAGUUACACUACAAUAACUAUUUAGUUAGUUAUGUUACUUAUGUUAAUGGAUUAGCUUUGCCUAAUCCGUAACAGCCUUAAUUCUUCUCUUUAGAUUAACCUGUGAUUUAAUCUGGGUUGUAAUAGUAGUGAUUAGUAUAAGCUAAAUUGCAUGUACCGAUUGUCUAAAGUUUGUAAAUUUUUUAUGAAGUCAUUUUCUGAUUGUAAAUUCUCAUAAAAUUCUUUUUAGUGGAAGAGAAAUUUAUUUUUAAUCUUCUUUAUAAUUAAACUCGUCUCAUAAAAUGUUGACGUCAGGAUUAUUUAGCAAAAUCUAAUGUAUUGUAUUUAAAUCGUCGUACUGUUCUCAAACCACUGUAUUAUACUGAGGUUCCAUCGAGCCGGCAGACCUCCUUUCACCAUAUCGGCGGUCAUGUAAGGUUAAUUACUUAAUUAAUACUCUAUUUCUUUUGUUAUAGCUGGUUUUAGACGAAAUCGAUCCAGAAUCAAUCGGAUUGAUGGUACCCAAUUACUCUUCUACUCCAACCUCUAUUUUAGACUGGCUUGUAAGUUUUUCCUAAUGUCUUAACUUUCAUAAAUACAAUUUUUCUGACCAUGAAAAUAUAAGUGUGAAAGGUUGGUUGAUUAAUGCUGUUUUCUUCUUCUUAUAUCACAGAUGGUUUUCGAUGAGGUUGAUAUAGGAUCUUCCGAACAUACGACACAUGAUAAUCCUCCUACUCGAACCAUAAAUAACGGAGAUUCUGAUCCGAAAAAAUCAUCUCGAAAUAUCUGAAACCAUCUCGAGUUAUGUCUUGUGAUAAAAACGUACUAUGUUCGAUAUGUCAGGUAUUUCGAUUUAUUUAUUAACCACAAAUGAAUGUAUACAUGAGUGUUUAUAGCAAUUGAUAAACAAGUAGUGACUAACAAAACUGACUAUCUAUUUAGUUAACUAACAAUGACAGUUAUUUUCUCUGAACCAAUGAAUGAAUCUCUAAUCUUAAUUGACAUUUUUUUCAGGAAUCUUUUGAAGAUGAUGAGAAUGUCGGCAGAUUGGAUUAUGACCAUGAGUUCCACUUCAGCUGCAUAAAAAGUUGGUUGAUUAUACAGAAUAAAUGUUCCAACUGUAGAUCAAGUGUGAUUUGUCUUUUAGAUUCACUGUAAGGUUUAUGUUAAAAGAUAGAGCAAUGAAAUAUGGUUCUUUCGAAUGUACUUGACUUUAUCGACCAAUCGAUGAUGAUCUGAGAUGAUCUGAGAUGAUCAGAGAUGAUCAUACAAUGAUUGCAUUCAAUCAAUUUGUAUUUUGUAUGAAUGUAAAUUAUGAUUACAAUGUUAUUUAUAGUGAUGAGUAAUGAGUUAUUUACACUACGAUAAUUAUUUAGUUAAUUAUGUUACUUAUGUAAAUGGAUUAGCUUUCCCUAAUCCGUAACACCCCACCUCAAGUGGAGCGGGAGUUUUGUGGAGCUCUGAUACCAUAUGGACCAAUCGAUGAUGAUCGAAGAUGAUCGUAGAUUGUAUUCAAUAAUCUGUAUUUUGCAUGAAUGUAAAUGAUGAUUACAAUGUUUAUUUAUAGUGAUGAGUUAGUUACACUACAAUAACUAUUUAGUUAGUUAUGUUACUUAUGUAAAUGGAUUCGCUUUGCCUAAUCCGUAACAGACUUAAUUCUUCUUUUUAGAUUACUCUGUGAUUUAAUCAGGGUUGUAAUAUUAAUGAUUACUAUAAGCUAAAUUGCAUGUACUGAUUGUCUAAAGUUUGUAAAUUUUCUACGAAGUCAUUUGAUGAUUGUGAAUUCUCAUAAAAUUCUUUUUAGUGGAAAAGAAAUUUAUUUUUAAUCUUCUUUAUAAUCAAACUCGUCUCAUAAAAUGUAGACGUCAGGAUUAUUUAGCAAUAUCUAAUGUAUUGUAUUUAAAUCGUCGUACUGUUCUCAUACCACUGUAUUGUACUGAGAUUCCAUCGAGCCGGCAGACCUCCUUUCACCAUAUCGGUGGUCAUGUAAGGUUUAUUAUUAUUUAAUUAAUACUCUAUUUCUUUUGUUAUAGAUGGUUUUAGACGAAAUUGAUGCAUAGUCAAUCGGAUUGAUGGUACCAAAUCACUCUUCUACUCCAACCUCCAUUUUAGACUGGCUUUAAAGUUUUUCCUAAUGACUUAACUUUCAUAAAUACAAUUUUUUUGACCAUGAAACUAUAAAAGUGAAAGGUUGGUUGAUUAAUGCUGUUUUUUUUUCUUAUAUGACAUAUGAUUUUGGAUAAGGUUGAUAUAGGAUCUUCCGAACAUACGACACAUGAUAAUCCUCCUUCUCGAACCUUAAAUAACGGAGAUUCUUUAUCCGAAAAAAUCAUCUCAAAAUAUCUGAAACCAUCUCGAGUUAUGUCUUGUGAUAAAAACGUACUAUGUUCGAUAUGCCAAGUAUUUUGAUUUAUUCAUUAACCUCAAAUGAAUGUUUACAUGAGUUUUUAUAGCAAUUGAAAAACAAGUAAUGACUAACAAAACUAACUAUCUAUUUAGUUAACUAACUAAUACAAGCAAUGCCAGUUAUUUUCUCUAAACCAAUGAAUGAAUUUCUAAUCUUAAUUGACAUUUUUUUCUGGAAUCUUUUGAAGAUGAUGAGAAUGUCGGCAGAUUGGAUUGUGACCAUGAGUUCCACUUCAGUUGCAUAAAGAGUUGGUUGAUUAUACAGAAUAAAUGUCCCAACUGUAGAUCAAGUGCGAUCGGCCUUUUAAAUUCACUGUAAGGUUUAUGUUAAAAGAUAGAGCAGUGAAGCAUGGUUCUUUCGAAUGUACUUGACUUUAUUGACCAAUCGAUGAUGAUCUGAGAUGAUCAGAGAUGAUCGUACAUAGAUUGCAUUCAAUCAAUCUGUAUUUUGUAUGAAUGUAAAUAAUGAUUACAAUGUUUAUUUAUAGUGAUUAAUGAUGAGUUAGUUACACUACAACAACUAUUUAGUUAGUUAUGUUACUUAUUGGUGAUACAGUAUCUCGAACCCGGUCACAACCUACCAGCAACUAGAAGUUCGGAUAGCCUAAGAUGAGUUAAGGUACCUAUUCUAGGGUUGGGGAGGUCCGAAGUUGAACCCUUGGAAAAUCGACUUUCCUGAGGAUCGACUUCCCUGGGAUCGACUUCUGAAUAAAGUCGAUCACCAGGAAAGUCGACCCCCAGAAAGUCGAUCUCUGGAAAGUCGAUCUCGGGCCCCAAUCUGAUCAGUUAGGCAGUUAGGCGGUUACUUCCCAAAUGACCAGAUCACCCCCACGAGAACCCCUAUAAAUAGGAGGCAUCCCCACUCAUUAAAGGCAGGUCAUUUGGAGCGAAAGGAUUCCUAGCGAAGCAGAGCUCUGCGCACUUGAGUUCCGGUCCGGUUUCCCGCUUGGCGCUUGCUUGCGCGUCUUGGAGUGUUGGUCGGGUUUCACCCCUAUCACUUAUGUAAAUGGAUUUGAUUUGCCUAAUUCGUAACACCCCCCCUCAAGUGGAGCGGAAGUGAUACCAUAUUGACCAAUCGAUGAUGAUCGGAGAUGAUCGUAGAUUGUAUUCUAUCAAUCCCGACUUAACCACCAGGAGUAAGUUAAGCCGGGCAGGUAAGUGCUUAAUUUUAUCCAAUAAGUAAAUUAUUUAGCCCUACUUAAUCUCAAAAAUAAUUAAUUACAGUAAAUAGAACAAAUAAAAUUUGAGCACGUGGGUCUAUGGGUUUAAACAAAACAAAAAGGAGAUUAUUGCACGUGGGUCUGUGGGUAUUUAGGAAAUUGCAUUGAAACACGCACGUGGGCUAGAACUUAAGUAGGCUGGAAUUUUAAAAUUAAUCCUAGGUAAUAUAAAAUACAAUGCAACGUGGGCUUAAAUAUUUUAAUAUGAUGAUAAUUUGCAUGAAAAAUUCCAAGAUAUUUUUGUUUUUUGGAAAGGGUACUUUAAUAUAAAAGAAAUAGUAUUUUAACAUUUUUAAGACUAAUUAAUCUAAAUCUAACUAAUUAAUUUACCCGCCGGCAGUUAGCCGUUACUAAAUCCCUUCAUCCGUCGCAGUGGAUGAGUAUCAGGAGGGCAUCCCAUUGGAGCAAUGUCCUCCCUUCACUUGGUGUCCGGUGCCUCCUCUUGUAGUUUCUUUCAUCGAAGCCAAUUCCGACCAUGUCGAUGCAAAAUCGGAGGACUACCUGCUUGGGCUCGACCUUGUUCUUGAUUCUUUGGAGGUUACGUUGCUUCCACACUUGGAAUAGAAUCACACCCAACAUUGACCAUUGCAGCCCCCAUGCUGGAGUUCAUGGUAUGAUUUUAUUCAGCACGCCGUCAGCCUCUUCAAAGUUUUUUGCGGCGUCCAGGCUGACCAACGAGCUCGCUGCUUCGAACCCUUCUCUUAGGAUCCAUCUUGAGUACUCACAACUCAAGAAGAUGUGGUGCGCGCUUUCCUGCUCCUUCCCGCACAGUUCAUGUAAAGAGUCCGUAGAUCGUCAUCCCGCGUCGUCUCAGUCUGUCCUUGAUUGGGAGGUUGGCUGACAUGUAUCUCCAAAAAUUGAGCGCGACUUUUGCCAUUUUAACCGCCCAUAUACCUUUUGCAAGUCUAUCCUUUGGGUGAUCCGGACGUAUGGUAGAGACUACAUUCCUGACCAAGCUAGCUGUGUCUUUCCCUAUCUAGCUCUUAACUCCGUUCGAUCCCAGGACCGCGCAUUUUGCAAUUUGGGUUCUCUGACGAAGAGUACGACUAGUUCCAAGAUAAAUGCAAGUACUACAAAUAUAGGACUAGUUUGCAUGAUAAUUUUAAUUCUUACUAUCAUUAUGAAAACAGUAACGGUAAAUGGGAGGGUCACCAUAAAAAAUACGCAAUGUUGUAGGACCAACCUGCAAAAUCUGGGAAAAGUCAUUAAAAAUAUACGUACACGUGGGCACUACUAUAGUCAAUAUAAAAAUAUCAUGGUAGGAAAAGUGAGAAAACGUCAAAUCAGAAAGAAAAAUUACAUUAAAGAAUCAUCACACACAACAAAAAAUACUUAGGGUCAAGGAAGGGAAAACUACAAAAUUACACAUGGGAUGGAGUUGGGUAAAACAACUACACCAAAUUGGAAUAACAACGGAUGAAGUUAGUUACGAAAUUAGGUUAGUUAGUAAUCACAAUCAGUUAAGUAAGAACUGCCUGUAAUUAGUAUAAAUAGAAACACAGAGUAUAUACAAAUACACAAUUCAAGUUUACUACAACGAUUGUUCUUAAUCAUCUUCUUCCUCAACUCCGAUCAACGUCGUGUAAAAUCUCAAUAUGGUAUCAUCGACCGGUAAUGCCGAUGGGGCUAUAGAUUCAGUUUCCACUGCACACAUGGCAUGGAUGGAUUAAAAACCCAGCGUGCUUCCAAAUCUUUUGCAUCUUAUAUAUAUUUAAUUCUGGGAAAACCGUUCCUUGCUUAUCUGUCCACUAUGAAUUUCUGAGGCCAUUAAUCAUUUAUUCAUAUGUCGCUAGCUUAGCAUUAGUAGCUUUAUUCUUGUCCCAUUCUUCUAAUCAUCUGCAACCAAUAAUUAAUUCAUAUCACAGUAUCAAUGUUUAACGAAUGUAUUAAUGUUCAAGUUACAAAUAGAAGAGAGUAAAAAAAAUUAGCUAAACCAACGGAGAGAAAGGGGGGGGGGAAUUAUACUAUGGUUUUAUAUUCUUAAUUUCAUAUAUGAUUGAACUUUAUUUAUGUCAAGCACAUUUAGAUAUAUCAUAGAUUAAAUUUCAUUCCUAAUCUUCUACAAAGAUUUAAGAAAAUAUCAUAUGAUACAACUUUAGUGAAGAUAUCAACCAGUUGUUGGGAGGAGCUUACUUGUAUAAUUUCCAACAAACCUUUAAUGACAAGUUCUCUGACAAAAUGGAUGUCGGUUUCAAUGUGUUUAGAACCUUUCUUUAUAACAGUAUUUUUAGCCAUAAAGAUAGCUGAGUUGUUAUCACUAUUUAUGAGUUGGAUAUAUUUAAGCCUAUGUCCUAAAUGCCUACAAAUAAAGUGUGACCAUCUCAUUUCAGCUGCCAAAGAUGCUACGGCUCUAUAUUCCGAUUCUGCACUUGAUCUAGAAACUGUAUUUUGUUUCUUUGAUGACCAGUUAACAAGAUUUUCACCAAUGAAGAGAUAGUAUUCAGAUGUGGAUUUCCUUGUAUCUGGGUCGCCUGCAAAGUCAGCUUCACAGAAUCCUACCAUCCUGUGAUGAUCAUUCAUAUUUUUUGAAAAAUGAAGCCCAUGACUGAGUGUGCCUUUUACAUAUCUCAUAAUUCUCUUUGCCGCAAUCAAGUGUGAGGUUUUUGGUUCAUUAACAAAUUAGGAAACCUGAUUAAUAGAGUAUGUGAGAUAUGGCCUAGUGAGUGAUAAAUAUUGUAAAGAGCCUACUAGUGCUCUAAAACUAGUCCCUUCAUCCUUAGACAAUUUUGAGUUUGGAAGAACAGGGUAUUUACACGGUUUGCAGUUCAACAUAUUAUUUUUACCUAAAAUGUUAAUUGCAUAUCUUGAUUGAUUUAGUUCGAGAGAUUCAUCAAAAUUAUGAAUCACUUCCAUUCCUAGAAAUUUUUUUAGCAGACCAAGAUCUCUACAUAUGAAUUCUUGACAUAAAUGUUUGAUGAAUUUUUCAACUUAAUUCAUUACUGUUAUUUCCAGUAAUGAUUAAGUCAUCCACAUAUAUUAUAACCCAAAUGAGUAUGUUAUCUUGGUUAUAUACAAACAAUAAGGUAUCUGCUUGACUGUUUGUAAAUUCAUUUAAAACUAAGAAACUUCUAAGUCUGAAAUACCAAGCCUUAGGAGCUUGUUUAAGUCCAUAUAUGGAUUUAUUUAGAUGACAUACUAAACUUGAAUGUUCAGGUUCUACAAAUCCUGGAGGUUGAGCGAUAAAAACUUUUUCUUUUAGUUCUCCUUGUAAGAAAGCAUUCUUGACAUCAAUUUGCCUAAGCCUAUAAUUUCUAUUUACUGCUAGAGACAGGACAAUCCUAAUAGUUGAUGAUUUAACUACUGGACUAUAUAUUAAUCCAUAGUCAAUAUUUUCUUGUUGUUUAAACCCUUGUGCCACUAAUCUGGCCUUAUAUCUUUCUACUGUCCCAUCUGAUUUUCUCUUAACCUUGAAAAUCCAUUUGGUUCCAAUUACAUUCAUGUUUUUUUAGCAGGAACUGGUGAGACAUGUCUGAUUACGUCAGUCACUCCCAGGAACGCCCUUCAACAAGGACUAGGGUUCCGUCGCUUUAUGCCGGACCCCCGAAGAGAUCCACGGUGCGGAGUAAGUGUUUACUUCAAGUAUUAAAGGCAACACCUGGUAAUUGCCGACUGGGACUACCAAGUCGCUGAUUCCAGGAGUGCAUCGUCGCCUCCAGACAGGGCACUCGGGUCUGGUAGACCGAGGACCUGACCACAAGGGAGUCGGCGACUCCACCUCUGAAUCGACGACUCCCAUACCUGAGUCGCCGAUUCCCAGCCAUUACUUGGGAGGGCCCACGUCAUUAUGACACCCUUAAUUGGACACCAUAAUGGAGUGGGCCCCAUGCUAAUGAAUGGGGAAGCGCCCCCAAGACCCUAUAAAAGGGGUCCUUGGGGGUCCUCCACUCCCAGGUCAUUCCCACUUGACAGACCCCAACCAGAGCAAACUAAGGAGACCGAGUCGCCGACUCCCACGUGAGUCGCCGAUUCCCCUCCUCUUCUACAGGUACAUUGACGUAGACUCCAAAGGCUCCGGCCUUCCUCGCUGUUGGAUCGAGAUCCGAGGCUAUAAGGGGGGAUAAUAGCCUCUUUUCGAUUUAUGCAAGUUAAUAGCGGAAUUACCUGCACACACUUAAGUACACAUUGAUAUAUUGAUAAGCAAGUAAAUGACCAGAUAACUGGAUAUAUUGAUAAGCAAGUAAAUGACCAGAUAACUGGAUAUAUAUAUGAUAAGUAAAUGCUUGAACAAAUAUAUGAAUAAGGAUUUAAAGCAAUUAAUAUAACCUCAGAUAGUUGACCAGAUAACUGGAUGAGGGAUCUGCGUAAAGUAGUCAACCUCUGUAUUUGACCAGAUAACUGGAAGAGAGAUCCUUUUCAAUUAAGUGUUGUUUAGUUGUUUUUGAUGAAAGAUAAAAACUAGAGUUAACAAAGAACAACACAAGAGAUUUAUACUGGUUCACCCAAACAAGGGCUAGUCCAGUCCCGACCAACUGUCAGAAUUCACUCACCUAAAGGUUAUGGCAAAACCUUAGAGUAUCAAGGAAACUCUUAAGAACCUCUCUAAGCUUUAAGGCUAGUUCGCUUAGGAACCAGUCUUUUACGGGUAGACUCACACCUUAGAGUAUCAAGGGCACUCUUAAGAACCUCUAACUUUUGCGGGUAAGUUAGUACCUUAGAGUAUCAAGGAACUCUUAAAAACCUCUCUAAGCUUUAAGGCUACUUCGCUUAGAAACCAGUCUUUUACGGGUAGACUCACACCUUAGAGUAUCAAGGGCACUCUUAAGAACCUCUAACUUUUACGGGUAAGUUAGUACCUUAGAGUAUCAAGGAACUCUUAAAAACCCUGAAAUCUUUCAAGGUAGACUCGACCUAAGAGUUUUCCCGGAAACUCUAUAAAACCAAACUAGAGCUUUAUGGUUGAGCUCAAAAACCUUCUCUCACACUUUGGUACUAUUGAGACAACCCUCUCAACCAAAGUGGACACACACAAGAGGUGAUUAGAGGAGUGGAAUAUUAAAGCAAACAACACUUCUUACUUGUAAAGAUGAACAAGAAGAUUAGAAGAAGAAGUUGGAGAGCUUUUGAAGCUUUGGAAAGCUAGGACACUUGAGCACUUGAAAGCUUGGAAGCUUGGAGGCAAAAACGUGUGGGCAAGUGUGGAGUGAAAGCUCUUGAGUUUGCUUGUAGUGUGGUAAGUGAAAAUGAGGGGUUUACCCUUCUAUUUAUAGCCUUGGCCACUCAAUGUCCACCCUUGGAUCUUCAAUGGAUGGCUCCUUGAUUUCUCACAUAAAUCCAAGCUUUGUCUUUGAUCUUAUCUUGAAUAGUGCUUUUAUUGGAUAGAGUUUGUUGGAGAAUCUUAUCUUUGUAUAAAUUCAAACUUGAAUAGUGUUUUGUCCCCUUGGAAUAUUAUACCUUGAAUAAAGUGUCAAAAGAUAAUAAUAAUAAUAUUCAAGGUAAAAAUGCAAUUAUUUCAAAUAAUAUUCAAGGUGAAAAUGCAAUUAUUCCAAAUAAUAAUAUUCAAGGUUAAAAUGCAAUUCUCCCAAUUUGACUUUUAACUUUGACUUAAACCCUUAACUCAAAUGAUUAAUUAAUUAACUGGAGUUAGGUUUAAUAUCGAUUGACUUAUUUAAACCCUAUUGAUUAAUAGUGUAAUUAGGGUUUAAAUUGACAUGAUUAAAAUAUAAUCCUAUGUCGACAAUUUUGAUUCUACAUUCUCCCCCUUUGUCGAUGGCAUAUAUGUUUUAACUCAUGUCUAGUCAAUAUUCUAUUUUACCCUUAUGAACAUGCUCCCCCUGAAUUAUUGACCCAUAAUAUUCAAUUUAAAAGCCGUGGAUCAUGCAUGAUUUCUCCCCCUUAAAACAAUAAGAUAUCGACAAAGUUAAAAAUAGAUACCUGUGAAGUAUCUCCCCCUUAAUGAUAGGACAUAUCUAAUUUGUGGAGAAAAUAAAAUUUCAUACCUUAUUGAGCUUUGAUCACAAAUUCGAUUUGUGUGGUUGACCAAAUGUGACGUCUUGCUUAUAAGAGUGUUAGUCAAUCAUAUAGGAGAAAUAACAUGUAAUUUAUGCUCAUUGAUAAAAUAUUAGAUUGAAGCCAAUUUUGAUAUACAUUAUAAGGCAAGUAUGAUAUGAUAAUUUAAAUUGCCUUGUGUUAAGAUCAUGCAAUGAAUAAUAAUCCAUGUGUAUGUUAUGGAUGAAGAUGAUCUUAACAUGUAUGGAUUAAAGAUUUUAUAAUGUUGUAAUCCAUAAGAUAUUAGUGAAUGAUAUGUAUAAAUCCAUAAUAUUCACUAAUUGCUUUAAGAAGAAAUUGAGCAUUUAAAAUUUUAAAAUCUAUGUCUUAGUGACAAAUAUAAUCAUGUAAAUAUUCACUAAGUUUUAAAAGAUUUAAAAUUUUCAUUUCAGUCCUUAAAGCCUUAGUAGUAAAACUUCACUUAAAACAAAAUUUCAUUUAAGCCCUUUGAAGUUAUGAUAAAUACUUAUAUUAAUACUUGAAAUAUUUCAUUUAAACCUUGGUAGUAUUAACUAUUUCUAAGCACUUUUUAAUUUGAAAACUUCAUGUAAAUAUUAAUUUUAAAUCCCUGAAGUUUUAACUAGAUAUUUAUUCACUGUAAAGAUAUCAUUUUGACCCUUAAGUUUUAGUGAAUCUAUUUAAAACUUAAAAACUUCAUAAACGAUUUAUGUCUAAGUCCUUGAAGUUUCACAUAACUCUAUAUUCACUGGAAAAAAUAUCAUCUUAAUCCUUAAGUUUCAGUGAAUCAUUUUAAACUUAGAAACUUCAAAAAUAAUUUAUGUUUUAGUUUCCAAGAAUUUCUUGGUUUGACUAAGCCAUGAAAAAUCGUUUUAUCUUGUAGUCUCCUUCUCAAAAGAGAGUUCUUUGAUUUCCCAUGUACUGACAUGACUUGUUAGGUUUAACAAGUAAUGAGAUUUUGAAACUAUCAUCUAAGAGCUAGCUAGGAUCUUAGCAAGGCUUGUAUUUUAGUAGCUUGUAUCCAGAAUAAUAUUUAAUUUAAAACAUACUUUUUGGUGGUCUUCAACGCAUUCUUUGCACUAUGCACGAUAGUCCAUGCUCCUAGCUGUCGUGAGUGACUAGUUGCGACAGGUUUUCUGGAUGAAGUUGCAGCAUCGAGGUUGCAGAAUGUGCAGACGACGAUUCUCAAUGCCAUGAGGUAAGGUUUGAAUUACCAAUACCAUGUGAUGCUGAUUUUGCUCAAAGUAGGAAAUAGUCUCAUGUAGUAUGUGUGCAACAUAGAAUUAAUCUUAUAAUUUUCUCAAUUAUAUGUAUGUGAUGACAUGGAAUAUGCAUGAUUUAAAUAGUUAUAUACAUAAGUCAAAAUUAGCUGUUUUGAUCAUCAUGUAUUUAAGUAUUUCAUAUCAUUAUGCAUGUAUAUAAUUCAUAGAUUCAUGCAUGUCAUAAGAUUCAUAAAUAAAUAUUAGCAUGCAUGUAUAAGAUAAUAAUAGUAUCAUGCUAAACUCAAACCAUGUAUCUUAUAUUUUUAAAGACCACAUACGUGUACAUGCAUAAUAUUGCAAUAUUUACUUUGCCAGACAUGCAUUUAUCAGAUAGUUAUUUGAAUCAUGUAGUUUCUAGUAGCAUGGUGAACAUGUAGGCAUGUAUUAACAUGAUUCUAUUGAUAUAUAUGAUAGUCAUAUAGUCAAGUUAAGCUCUUCAUUUUAUGCAUGCAUAUGAUGAAUUAUAUGUAUAUACUUAGUCAUGUAAAUCUUAGAUUUGUAAAUUUAUGCAUACGUAUAUUUAUUUUAAUGUGAUUAUGAUCAAGGUUAUAAGUAUAAAGAUAUUCAGGUAAAGAAUACUAAAGCUUGAGAUGCAUUCACUCAUAACUAAUCAAAUUUCACUAAGCUCACAUAUACCCAUAGAUCUUCUGAUUUUUGAAUGAACUUCUUGAUCUAAGGGUUUAGUGAAGAUGUCAGCCAUUUGAUCUUCAGUAGAAAUAUAUUCUAGGCAUAUAUUUUUCUUUUCUACAUGAUCACUAAGGAAAUGAUGUCUGACAUCAAUGUGUUUAGAUCUUGAAUGUAACACAGAGUUUUUUGAUAAACAAAUUGCACUCUUGUUGUCACAUUUAAGAGCUACUGUUUCUAAAGCUAUAUCGUAGUCGGAUAAUGUUUGUUUCAUCCACAAAAUUUGAGUGCAUGCAUUAGAUGCUGCCAUAUAUAUAUUCUGCUUCAGUUGUGGAUAAAGCAAUACUAUUUUGCAUUUUACAUGACCAUGCUACGAGUGAGCUUCCCAACAGAAAGCAUGUUUCACUAGUGCUUUUUCUGUCAGUCUUACAUCCACCAAAGUCAGCAUCACAGUAUGCUGUCAGUGUGAAUGAAUUGUCCUUAGGGUAGAAUAAUCCAAGUGUAAUUGUUCCUUUGAUAUACCUGAUUAUUCAUUUAACCGCUUUGAGACGUGACUCUUUUGGGUCUGAUUAGAAUCUGGCACAUAAGCAGACUGCAAACAUGAUGUCUGGUCUGCUGGCUGUUAGGUAUAGCAGUGAUCCAAUCAUUCCUCUGUAUUUCUUAAUGUCUACUGAUUGACCUUCAACAUCUUUAUCCAAUUUAAGUGUUGAACUCAUCGGAGUUGGCAUAGAUUUAGAUUCAGCCAAGUCAAAUUUCUUUAUCAAUUCCAUAGCAUAUUUGACUUGACUUAGGAAUAUUCCAUUCUCCUUCUGUUUGACUUGUAGACCUAAGAAAAAAGUCAACUCUCCCAUCAUACUCAUUUCAAAUUCGUCUUCCAUUUGUUUGGAAAAUUUCUUACAUAGAGUAUCAUCGGUUGAUCCAAAUAUAAUGUCAUCAACAUAGAUUUGAAUUAGAAUAAUGUCACUUUUGACAUUUUUAAUGAACAAUGUAUUAUCUAUACUCCCCAUUCUAAAUUCCUGAGAAAUGAGAAAGUUUCUUAGUCUUUCAUACCAAGCUCGGGGUGCUUGUUUCAGACCAUAGAGGGCUUUCUUAAGUUUAAGGACAUGAUCAGGGUUUUUGUAAUCUUCGAAACCGGGGGGUUGUCUAACAUAUACUUGUUCAUUGACUAUUCCAUUCAAGAAUGCACUCUUUACAUCCAUUUGAUAUAAUUUGAAAUCUUUGUAACAUGCAAAGGAUAGGAGCAUUCUGAUAGACUCUAGUCUAGCUACUGGUGCAAAUGUUUCAUCAUAAUCAAUUCCUUCUUGUUGAUUGUAUCCUUGCGCAACCAGUCUAGCUUUGUUUCUGAUUAUAGUUCCAUCUUCAUCCAGCUUGUUUCUGAAUACCCAUCUUGUCCCAAUGAUUGAUGUAUCUUUUGGUUUUGGAACUAGUUCCCAUACAUCAUUUCUCUCAAAUUGGUUGAGUUCUUCUUGCAUAGCUUGAAUCCAGUAGUUGUCGUCGAGGGCUUCAUCAACUUUCUUGGGCUCAAUUUGAGAGACAAAACAGUCAAGAACACUGUUUCCUUGAAUGGAUGAUCUGGUUUUAACACCAGCUUGAUGGUCACCAAUGAUUUGAUCAGUGGAAUGUGGGUUCCUGAGCAACCUGUUGGAUGGAGGCUCAAAGACUUCGAUUUCGACAUUGGUAGUUUCUUCAGUUGGAAUGAUGAUUUCUGGUUCUGGAACUAUUUCAUCUUCUUCUACAAUGGUUGUCUGAGUGGAUUCAUCAAAGCCAACGUGUAAUGAUUCGAUCAUUAUUUGUUUUUCUUUGAGAAGAAUUUUGUAGACUUUGCUCCUUCUAGAGUAUCCUACCAGGAUACCUUCAUCAAAUUUCUGAGCAAAUUUGUCUUGGUUGCCUCUUGUUCGGAGAACUAACAUUUGCAUCCAAAGACCUUGAAGUAUGAGACUUUUGUCUUUCUUCCAUUCCAGAUCUCAUAUGGAGUUUUGUUAAAGGUUUUUCUAAUAAUCACCUUGUUUAAUAUAUAACAGGCUGUGUUAACAGCUUCUGCCCAGAGAUACUGUGGUGAAUCAUGUUCUUGUAACAUGGAUCUACUCAUCUCUUGUAGAGUUCUGUUUUUCCUUUCAACAACUCCAUUCUGAGGGGGUGCUUGGGGAAAAGCAAAUUCAUGUUUUAUUCCAUGAGUUUUGCAAAAUUUUUCAAACUCAGAGUUCUCGAAUUCUCCUCCAUGAUCACUUCUGAUUCUUUUUAUGAGAACAUCCUUCUCAUUUUGUACACGUGUACAAAAUGAUGAGAACUCGUUGAAUGAGUCACUUUUAUUUCGUAAGAAGAAAACCCAAGUAAAUCUUGAGUAAUCAUCUACUAUUACAUACGUAAACCUUUUACCGCCAAGACUUUGGGUUUGGGUUGGCCCAAAUAAGUCCAUGUGUAAAAGUUCCAAAGGUCUGGACGUAGUAAUAUCUGUAAGGGAUUUGAAUGAGCUUUUAUGCUGUUUCCCCUUUUGACAAACAUCACAAAGAUUACUUUUCUCAUAUGCUAUUUUAGGCAGUCUAGUCACCAGUUCUUCUUUUGAUAGUUUGGAUAAUCGAGAAUAACUGAUGUGACCUAACCUUCUAUGCCAUAAUGUCUUUUCAUCACUUGCUGCAAUCAUGCAGAAGUCAUGAGUUGGCUUGGAGGGAUUAAAGGUUAUGGAAUAAGCAUUGUUUUUCCUAUAUCCUUUAGCAAUUAUAACUCCCUUGGAGUUAAUGAUUGAGCAUAAAUGUUUUUCAAAUUUAACUGUGCAAUCAUUAUCAUAUAAUUGGCUUAUGCUGAUAAGAUUAUGUUUAAGGCCAUUAACUAAGUAAACAUCUCUAAGAAAUGGUCUAUCUAUAUUACCUAUAUUACCCCUACCUAUAAUGGUACCUUCGUUGUUAUCGGCGAACUUGACCUUCUUAGUAGUAGGCCAGUCGGUCAAGUCUGUCAGUAGACUUGAAUUUCCAGUCAUGUGCCUUGUGCAUCCACUGUUGAACAGCCAUUUUGACACAUGUUUUUCCUGAAAGAGUUGAAUAACCUUUUGGUACCUAUACUGAGUUGGGUCCAGAUGAAUUAACAUAGUUGAUUUGCUUAUAAUUUUUUAACUCAUUCUUGGUCAUCCAUUUUUGUUUUGGAUGAUUCAUCUUCGAUAGAUCUUUCUUUUUUUUAAGAUGAAUAGGUUUUCUGUAGCUAGAUUCUCUUACAAAAUAAUCAUUAUAUGUUAAAGCAUGUAAAGGUUUUUUAAUAGGUGUAUUUGAUUCAAACCCUAAGCCAAAUUUCUUUUAACCUGAGCUUGAACCUUGCAACAUGUCAUUUAGCUUAGAUGAACUAUUUAAGAAUUUUUCAAGAACAUUAUUCUUCUGACCUAUUCUUUUGAUUUGUAAUUGCAUAUCAUUACAUUUUUCAGAUAAUUAUUGUAUAGUUUGUACAUGCUCAAGUAUGAUUUUGUCCUUAAAUUCUAUUUCUGUUUUGAGCAUAAUUGUUUCUUUUUCUUUUAACAUAAUAUCUUCUUCAAAAUUAUCUAUUUUUAAUUCUAGCAAUUCAAUCUUAUCAUCAUCCAUUUCCUUAGAUUGAUUUUCUUCAGAUUCUAAAAUGUUAAGCAAUUCAAAGUUUUGACUCUUAAGUAUCUUAAUUUUUUCUUCAUCUUUGUUUAAUUUACUUGUGAGUUUUAGAUUUCUUUCUUUCAAUUGCAUGCAUUCUUUUUGUGAUUCUUCUAAUUCAAUAGAUUGAUCUAUAUGUGAUUUAUUCAUGCAUUCUAGUUUUAAUGACUUAGUUAAUUUGUUCUCAUUUUUAUAUUUUCCCAUUAAUUCUAGAUAUGCUUCUUCUAAAGAAUUAAAUCUAGUAUUUGCAAAACUCACCUCAGAGUUGCUUUCAUGAGCCAUGAGACAAUCUUCUUGAUCCGAGUCGGAGUCUGUCCAUUGUGCUUGAUUUGCUCUUUCUUUCUUUAGCAGAGGACAUUCUGGUUUGAUGUGUCCAGACUUGUCGCAUAGACAACAGGUUGGUUCUUUUGACUCCUUGCUCAUUCUUCCGUCGAACUUCUGAUGACUUGAUCUUGAGUCUUUCUUCUCUUUCCUCUUUUUCUGAUAUCUUCUCAGAUGAUUUGUGAUCAUUCCUAGAUCAUCUUCUGAUGUUUCAUUGUCAGAUUGACUUUUAAAAGCAAUAUCCUUUUUCUCUUCUUUAGCUCUAGAGAUGAAUCUUUCUUCUUCAUAGGCCAUCAGAUUUCCACAGAGUUUCACAACUGUAAGUUUAUUGAGAUCAUGAACCUCUUGGAUAGCAUUCCUUUUGGAGUAGUACUUGUUUGGAAGGCUCCUCAGAAUUUUGCUUACUUGCUUCUUCUCAGUUAUUAGAUCUCCUAGUCCAGCUAGAUCAUUAACUAUUUGUGAUAGUCUAAUGUUCAUCUCUGCGAUAGUCUCGUCUUCCCUCAUAGAGAAUCUUUCGAACUGAGAGGUAGCAUGUAACAGCUUGUUUUCUUUAACAUGGGAGGUUCCUUCAUGUAUAUCCUCCAAUGCUUUCCAUACCUUGUGAGCUGUAUCCAAGCAUCGAAUUCUGCUGUACUCAGAUUCAUUGAGUGCUCCAUAUAGAGCAUUCAAUGCUCUUGAGUUGUUGUUUUCCUUGAGAAUGUCCAUUUCUCCCCAAGUCUCUUCAUUGCUUGUUGGAAUUUCAUAAUCCUCUAAUAUGAUCUUCCAUACUCCAUUGUUGAUUGACUUCAAGUAUAACUUCAUCUUGUUCUUCCAGAAGUCAUACUUUACUCCAUCGAACCUGGGAGGUUUGUUUGACGCAAGACCAGUGUUGAAUUCACCAUUUGGUGCCAUAAUUGUUGUUGUAAGAUGUUAGUCAAACUUCAACGGUACUUGGCUCUGAUACCACUUGUUGGAUCGAGAUCCGAGGCUAUAAGGGGGGAUAAUAGUCUCUUUUCGAUUUAUGCAAGUUAAUAGCGGAAUUACCUGCACACAUUUAAGUACACAAAUGGUUGUAUAAUAAUAGUAUAAUAUUGUUAGCAAUAUAAUACUGGUUCACCCAAACAAGGGCUAGUCCAGUCCCGACCAACUGUCGGAAUUCACUCGCCUAAAGGUUAUGACAAACCUUAGAGUAUCAAGGAAACUCUUAAGAACCUCUCUAAGCUUUAAGGCUACUUCGCUUAGGAACCAGUCUUUUACGGGUAGACUCACAUCUUAGAGUAUCAAGGGCACUCUUAAGAACCUCUAACUUUUGCGGGUAAGUUAGUACCUUAGAGUAUCAAGGAACUCUUAAAAACCUCUCUAAGCUUUAAGGCUACUUCGUUUAGGAACCAGUCUUUUACGGGUAGACUCACACCUUAGAGUAUCAAGGGCACUCUUAAGAACCUCUAACUUUUACGGGUAAGUUAGUACCUUAGAGUAUCAAGGAACUCUUAAAAACCUCUUAAAUCUUUCAAGGUAGACUCGACCUAAGAGUUUUCUCGGAAACUCUAUAAAACCAAACUAGAGCUUUAUGGUUGAGCUCAAAAACCUUCUCUCACACUUUGGUACUAUUGAGACAACCCUCUCAACCAAAGUGGACACACACAAGAGGUG
rnacentral:lncRNA from 1 species